rnacentral:tRNA from 1 species
AUUCAUUUAGUAUAAAAAGUAUAUUAAGCUUCCAACUUUAAGGUUUUAUUUUAAAAAUGGAUA